rnacentral:rRNA from 1 species
AACGAACGCUGGCGGCAGGCUUAACACAUGCAAGUCGAGCGCCCCGCAAGGGGAGCGGCAGACGGGUGAGUAACGCGUGGGAACGUACCUUUUGGUUCGGAACAACUCCGGGAAACUGGAGCUAAUACCGGAUAAGCCCUAACGGGGAAAGAUUUAUCGCCGAAAGAUCGGCCCGCGUCUGAUUAGCUAGUUGGUGAGGUAACGGCUCACCAAGGCGACGAUCAGUAGCUGGUCUGAGAGGAUGAUCAGCCACACUGGGACUGAGACACGGCCCAGACUCCUACGGGAGGCUGCAGUGGGGAAUAUUGGACAAUGGGCGCAAGCCUGAUCCAGCCAUGCCGCGUGAGUGAUGAAGGCCUUAGGGUUGUAAAGCUCUUUUGUCCGGGAAGAUAAUGACUGUACCGGAAGAAUAAGCCCCGGCUAACUUCGUG